AGGAUGAACGCUAGCGGCAGGCCUAACACAUGCAAGUCGAGCGGAUCCUUCGGGAUUAGCGGCGGACGGGUGAGUAACGCGUGGGAACAUACCCUUUGGUACGGAAUAGCCUCGGGAAACUGAGAGUAAUACCGUAUGUGCCCUUCGGGGGAAAGAUUUAAUCGCCAAAGGAUUUGGCCCGCGUUGGAUUAGGUAGUUGGUGGGGUAAUGGCCUACCAAGCCGACGAUCCAUAGCUGGUUUGAGAGGAUGAUCAGCCACACUGGGACUGAGACACGGCCCAGACUCCUACGGGAGGCAGCAGGUGGGAAUCUUAGACAAGUGGGGGAAACCCUGGAUCUAGCCAGUGCCGCGUGAUCGAUGAAGGUCCGUUAAGGGUUAGUAAAGAUUCGUUUACAGGUAGGGAAG
rnacentral:rRNA from 1 species